rnacentral:rRNA from 1 species
CGGACGUGAGCAAUCUGCCUUUAAGAGGGGGAUAACAGUCGGAAACGGCUGCUAAUACCGCAUAAAGCAUUGAAACCGCAUGAUUUUGAUGCCAAAGGAGCAAUCCGCUCUUAGAUGAGCUCGCGUCUGAUUAGCUAGUUGGCGGGGUAACGGCCCACCAAGGCGACGAUCAGUAGCCGGACUGAGAGGUUGAACGGCCACAUUGGGACUGAGACACGGCCCAA